GUGUCUUCGAGUCGUUGAUUUCACACUGCCGAGAAAAGCCUCUAGAUAGAAAAUAGGUGCCCGUACCGCAAACCGACACAGGUAGUCAAGAUGAGAAUUCUAAGGUGAGCGAGCGAACUCUCGUUAAGGAACUCGGCAAAAUGACCCCGUAACUUCGGGAGAAGGGGUGCUCUUUAGGGUUAACGCCCAGAAGAGCCGCAGUGAAUAGGCCCAAGCGACUGUUUAUCAAAAACACAGGUCUCUGCUAAACCGUAAGGUGAUGUAUAGGGGCUGACGCCUGCCCGGUGCUGGAAGGUUAAGAGGAGUGGUUAGCUUCUGCGAAGCUACGAAUCGAAGCCCCAGUAAACGGCGGCCGUAACUAUAACGGUCCUAAGGUAGCGAAAUUCCUUGUCGGGUAAGUUCCGACCCGCACGAAAGGCGUAACGAUUUGGGCACUGUCUCAACGAGAGACUCGGUGAAAUCAUAGUACCUGUGAAGAUGCAGGUUACCCGCGACAGGACGGAAAGACCCCGUGGAGCUUUACUGUAGCCUGAUAUUGAAAUUCGGCACAGCUUGUACAGGAUAGGUAGGAGCCUUUGAAACGUGAGCGCUAGCUUACGUGGAGGCGCUGGUGGGAUACUACCCUAGCUGUGUUGGCUUUCUAACCCGCACCACUUAUCGUGGUGGGAGACAGUGUCAGGCGGGCAGUUUGACUGGGGCGGUCGCCUCCUAAAAGGUAACGGAGGCGCUCAAAGGUUCCCUCAGAAUGGUUGGAAAUCAUUCAUAGAGUGUAAAGGCAUAAGGGAGCUUGACUGCGAGACCUACAAGUCGAG
rnacentral:rRNA from 1 species